rnacentral:rRNA from 1 species
GAGUUUGAUCGUGGCUCAGGACGAACGCUGGCGGCGUGCUUAACACAUGCAAGUCGAACGGUAAGGCUCCAGCUUGCUGGGGUACACGAGUGGCGAACGGGUGAGUAACACGUGGGUGACCUGCCCUGCACUUCGGGAUAAGCCUGGGAAACUGGGUCUAAUACCGGAUAGGACCGCACCGUGAGGGUGUGGUGGAAAGUUUUUUC